AGAGUUUGAUCCUGGCUCAGGACGAACGCUGGCGGCGUGCUUAACACAUGCAAGUCGAGCGGUAAGGCCCUUCGGGGUACACGAGCGGCGAACGGGUGAGUAACACGUGGGUGAUCUGCCCUGUACUUCGGGAUAAGCCUGGGAAACUGGGUCUAAUACCGGAUAUGACCUCCGAUCGCAUGGUUGGUGGUGGAAAGAUUUAUCGGUACAGGAUGGGCCCGCGGCCUAUCAGCUUGUUGGUGGGGUAAUGGCCUACCAAGGCGACGACGGGUAGCCGACCUGAGAGGGUGACCGGCCACACUGGGACUGAGACACGGCCCAGACUCCUACGGGAGGCAGCAGUGGGGAAUAUUGCACAAUGGGCGAAAGCCUGAUGCAGCGACGCCGCGUGAGGGAUGACGGCCUUCGGGUUGUAAACCUCUUUCGACUCCGACGAAGCGAAAGUGACGGUAGGGGUAGAAGAAGCACCGGCCAACUACGUGCCAGCAGCCGCGGUAAUACGUAGGGUGCGAGCGUUGUCCGGAAUUACUGGGCGUAAAGAGCUUGUAGGCGGUUUGUCGCGUCGUUUGUGAAAACUUGGGGCUCAACCCCAAGCUUGCAGGCGAUACGGGCAGACUAGAGUACUUCAGGGGAGACUGGAAUUCCUGGUGUAGCGGUGAAAUGCGCAGAUAUCAGGAGGAACACCGGUGGCGAAGGCGGGUCUCUGGGAAGUAACUGACGCUGAGAAGCGAAAGCGUGGGUAGCGAACAGGAUUAGAUACCCUAGUAGUCC
rnacentral:rRNA from 1 species